CUUCUGUAGGUAAACCUACGGAAGGAUCAUUGUCGAACCCUGCAUAACAGAAUAACUCAUGAACACGUUGAAAAACACAUUUGGGGGAUGCGUGCACGGGACAAGGAAACAUCCCCCCGUGCAUGCAACCCCUUCCUUGUGGUGCCGGAGCAAUCGAGCGAAAGUGCGUGAGCUUCGGCCCCCAAGAAACAAAACCCCGACGCAAUUCACGCCAAGGAAAACUUUAAACUCAAGGGCGUGCUUUCCUCAAGUUGCCCCCGUUUGCGGGUUCGCGACUGGGUGUUUGCCCGCUCCUUAUUGAAAACACAAAUGACUCUCGGCAACGGAUAUCUCGGCUCUC
rnacentral:misc_RNA from 1 species